AGCACCUGCAGUUUGAAGCGGGAACAGGGAGGCAGAAGCAGCGCCGCAUCACAUUGGAUCCGCUGGAUCACGUUGGACGCUGGCUCAAAGUCUCUGCAAAGGACUCUCCAGGGAGUUGUAUCUUGUGAUUCCAGUAGUGGAAAGAACAAAAUCAAAACACCGUAUGGCGAAAUCCUCAAAGGGAAGGACCUGGAAUUCACAUCCUUCGAGAUAUCAUCUGUACCUCGGCACUGUUGUGACCCGGUGGGCAACAUAGUAGCAGGGUCGAGGGACAAAAUGCAUGCUAAUAGUCUCCAGGCUCAAAAAUGAUUCAAGACCCUGAUGGUGUCUCUCCAACGACCAACACACAGGGAUGGUGCCAACCUGUCACUCAAUUACAAUGCAGGGCUGGCGACUAACUGGUUUAAUUCGAGACCGUGGGUCGGAUCGCUUGUCUGUGCUUUGAUAACGGAGAAUUCGAGGCCCCGAAAAAGAGCUACUCGACCAGGUUAGACGAGUGGCUGGUAGAGUGCGAAUGACAACAUAUUAUACCAUCA
rnacentral:lncRNA from 1 species